UGGACCCAUAGGCUAGUGGCAAACCAUAUCCUUGACGUGGAUAGAUCCCAAGUUCAAUCCUUGGUGGGUCCAU
rnacentral:tRNA from 1 species